CUCCCACUGAUCCACAAAGCACAGCAGAGACAGUCGCUGGUUCUUCAUAUUCAACAUGACGCCACCUCAUCUCAUCACAUCCAUCAUCACUGUGUUCUGGAUUAAGGGAGUUUACCUCAGUAAUGACAAACCAGUGUUUCAGACUCCAGCCGACCUGUUGAUGAAAACAAAUGGUGAAGUCAACCUGAACUUAACACAUCAUAUCUCGAGCUAUGACACGAUUCUCUGGUACCAGCGCUCAGCAGGAGACAGUUCCCUGAAGCUGAUCGGAUAUAUUUUUUAUAAAACACCCAAAAUUGAGUCAAAGUUUUCGAGCCACUUCAAUGUGAGUGGAAAUGGAGAGAAAACAGCUUUUCUUCAAAUCAAGAACCUGAAGCACUCUGAGGACAGCGGAGAAUAUUUUGGAGCAGCAAGUACACAGUAAUAAAGACGGAGAGAGCCGUCGUUCAAAAACCUCCAUAAACGAUGCAGCAGAUAACAGCAAGAAAAACCACAACACAGCUUCAAAGCUGAGAGAAACACAGCAAAUCAGACUCCAGAAAACACACAAUGAAUACAUGUUCUUUAUAUUUGCUUGUAUUUUUUUCAUAAUAAAGUUUACAAGUAAGCAUCCCUACAGUUUUUGCAAAA